GUCCAGGGAAGGGAAUCGAACCCACAAUGUUCCGCUUACCGGGCAGAUGCCAUGUCCACUAGGCUACCCUGGA
rnacentral:tRNA from 1 species